rnacentral:rRNA from 1 species
UACGUAGGUGGCAAGCGUUGUCCGGAUUUAUUGGGUUUAAAGGGUGCGUAGGCGGUCUAUUAAGUCAGUGGUGAAAUACUCCAGCUUAACUGGAGGGGUGCCAUUGAUACUGAUGGACUUGAGUGAAGUCGAGGUAGGCGGAAUUCCCGGUGUAGCGGUGAAAUGCGCAGAUAUCGGGAGGAACACCAAUGGCGAAGGCAGCUCGCUGGGACGUGACUGACGCUGAGACGCGAAAGCGUGGGGAGCAAACAGG